CCUCCAACCUUGGCCUCCCAAAGUGAUGGAAUUACAGGCACACCUCUGAUGAUUGCUGCAUGUAUUCUGCCCAGGGUUUUUGGCUGUGAUCACUGGGAGAGAUAGAAGGGACUGUAUUUGCUCCAUCUUACCCAGCUCUGCAAACCUGCUGGAGAGUUUAAUUGGCAUAUGACUUCUAUCCUCAAAGUCACAAGAUGGCUGCUGGAGUUCCAGUCAGGAUGUCUGUACAACGGAGUCUUGCUCUGUCACCCAGACUGGAGUGCA
rnacentral:lncRNA from 1 species